GCCACGGUGGUCUAGCGGUUAGAACGCUGGCCUUGUAAUCCUGGGGUCCCGGGUUCGAUUCCUGGCGGUGCCC
rnacentral:tRNA from 1 species